CCUACGGGGUGCAGCAGUGGGGAAUAUUGCGCAAUGGGCGAAAGCCUGACGCAGCGACGCCGCGUGAGGGAUGAAGGUCUUCGGAUCGUAAACCUCUGUCAGCAGGGAAGAACGGUCACUGUGCUAAUCAGCAGUGAAUUGACGGUACCUGCAAAGGAAGCACCGGCUAACUCAGUGGCAGCAGCCGCGGUAAUACGGAGGGUGCGAGCGUUAAUCGGAAUUACUUGGCGAAAAGCGCUCGUAGGCGGUAUGUCAAGUCAAGGGUGAAAUCCCCGCGCUCACCGUGGGAACUGCCUUUGAAACUGGCAAACUGGAGUGUGUGAGAGGAUAGUGGAAUUCCAGGUGUAGGAGUGAAAUCCGUAGAUAUCUGGAGGAACAUCAGUGGCGAAGGCGACUAUCUGGCACAUAACUGACGCUGAGGAGCGAAAGCGUGGGUAGCAAACAGGAUUAGAUACCCUUGUAGUC
rnacentral:rRNA from 1 species